CGGCCCUACGGGGGGCAGCAGUGAGGAAGAUUGGUCAAUGGUUGGGAGACUGAACCAGCCAAGCCGCGUGAGGGAUGAAGGUACAGAGUAUCGUAAACCUCUUUUGUCAGGGAACAAAGGCGGGGACGUGUCCCCGGAUGAGUGUACCUGAAGGAAAAGCAUCGGCUAACUCCGUGCCAGCAGCCGCGGAAAUACGGAGGAUGCGAGCGUUAUCCGGAUUUAUUGGGUUUAAAGGGUGCGCAGGCGGUCUGUUAAGUCAGCGGUCAAAGACCGGGGCUCAACCCCGGCCCGCCGUU
rnacentral:rRNA from 1 species